rnacentral:rRNA from 1 species
UACGGAGGAUGCAAGCGUUAUCCGGAAUGAUUGGGCGUAAAGCGUCCGCAGGUGGCUAUGUAAGUCUGCUGUUAAAGAGUGAGGCUCAACCUCAUAAGAGCAGUGGAAACUACAUGGCUAGAGUGCGUUCGGGGCAGGGGGAAUUCCUGGUGUAGCGGUGAAAUGCGUAGAUAUCAGGAAGAACACCGGUGGCGAAAGCGCUCUGCUAGGCCGCAACUGACACUGAGGGACGAAAGCUAGGGGAGCGAAUGGG